AUUGAACGCUGGCGGCAUGCCUUACACAUGCAAGUCGAACGGUAACAGGUCUUCGGAUGCUGACGAGUGGCGAACGGGUGAGUAAUACAUCGGAACGUGCCCGAUCGUGGGGGAUAACGAGGCGAAAGCUUUGCUAAUACCGCAUACGAUCUACGGAUGAAAGCGGGGGAUCUUCGGACCUCGCGCGGACGGAGCGGCCGAUGGCAGAUUAGGUAGUUGGUGGGAUAAAAGCUUAUCAAGCCGACGAUCUGUAGCUGGUCUGAGAGGAUUAUCAGCCACACUGGGACUGAGACACGGCCCAGACUCCUACGGGAGGCAGCAGUGGGGAAUUUUGGACAAUGGGCGAAAGCCUGAUCCAGCCAUGCCGCGUGCAGGAUGAAGGCCUUCGGGUUGUAAACUGCUUUUGUACGGAACGAAAAGCCUCUUUCUAAUAAAGAGGGGUCAUGACGGUACCGUAAGAAUAAGCACCGGCUAACUACGUG
rnacentral:rRNA from 1 species